rnacentral:rRNA from 1 species
UACGUAGGGUGCGAGCGUUGUCCGGAAUUAUUGGGCGUAAAGAGCUCGUAGGCGGUGUGUCACGUCGGCCGUGAAAACCUGCAGCUUAACUGUGGGCGUGCGGUCGAUACGGGCAUCACUGGAGUUCGGCAGGGGAGACUGGAAUUCCUGGUGUAGCGGUGAAAUGCGCAGAUAUCAGGAGGAACACCAGCGGCGAAGGCGGCAUCCUGGACUGGUCCUGACACUCAUGAGCGAAAGCGUGGGGAGCGAUCCGG